CUUGGCAAAAAAAAUUAAUAUUAAAACUGCAGAAGACUCCAAAAGAGAUAAAAUGCGAGAAGCCAUGAAAUGGUAGGCCCCAAAACACCUACAGUGAAACAUUCCAUAUAUAUAUCUGGAAAGCAUAUGUAAAAAUACAAUUCUCAACGUAUUGAGAAGGCAUGUUUUAAGACUGUAGAUGU